rnacentral:piRNA from 1 species
UGAGGACAGCCUCAGUGACAACAGAGC